rnacentral:snRNA from 1 species
GCAGCCAAGCGUUCAUAGCGACGUUGC